rnacentral:rRNA from 1 species
UACGUAGGGGGCAAGCGUUAUCCGGAAUUAUUGGGCGUAAAGAGCUCGUAGGCGGUUUGUCGCGUCUGCCGUGAAAGUCCGGGGCUCAACUCCGGAUCUGCGGUGGGUACGGGCAGACUAGAGGUGAUGUAGGGGAGACUGGAAUUCCUGGAUGUAGCGGUGAAAUGCGCAGAUAUCGGGAAGAACACCCGUGGCGAAGGCGGCUCUCUGGGACGGUACUGAACGCGUGAGACGCGAAAAGCGUGGGGAAGCGAACGAGG